GUCUUUUUGAUUAAUAAUUUAAAGUCUAAUCUGCCCACUGAUAAUAUAUUAAAGGGCUGCAGUAUUUUGACUGUACAAAGGUAGCAUAAUCAUUAGUCUCUUAAUUGGUGACUUGUAUGAAGGAUUUGAUGAAAUAUAUACUGUCUCUUUUUAAUUUAUAAAAUUUAAUUUUUUGGUUAAAAAGCUAAAAUUUAUUUAAAAGACGAGAAGACCCUAUAGAGUUUUAUAUUUAUAUAAAUUAAAAUUUUUUAUAAGAUUUAAAAUUUCAAUUUAUAUAAAUAUUUUAUUGGGGUGAUAGAAAAAUUAAAAUAACUUUUUUUAUAAUUUUACAUUAAUAAAUGAAUAAAUGAUCCGUAAUUUACGAUUAUAAGAUAAAAUUACCUUAGGGAUAACAGCGUAAUUUUUUUUUUUAGUUCAAAUAAGAAAAAGAGUUUGCGACCUCGAUGUUGGAUUAAGAUAAAAUUUAAAUGCAAAAGUUUAAAAUUUUUGAUCUGUUCGAUCAUUAAAAUCUUACA
rnacentral:rRNA from 1 species